rnacentral:lncRNA from 12 species
UUUUUUUUUUUUGGAGAGGGGGAAGCUCUUGAAGAAAAUGGGACCCCCCCUGGGAAAUUAUAAAGAGUGAAAAGAUUCUUGGGAACACCAACAAUUGAAAAACAGGUAAAGGAAGAAGGUAAAUCAGUAAAGAGAGCUUCCAGAAAGGGUUGCUGUUACUGCC